rnacentral:rRNA from 1 species
UACGUAGGGGGCAAGCGUUGUCCGGAAUCAUUGGGCGGAAAGAGCGUGUAGGCGGUUUGUCGCGUCUGCCGUGAAAAUCCGGGGCUCAACCCCGGACUUGCGGUGGGUACGGGCAGACUAGAGUGUGGUAGGGGAGACUGGAAUUGCUGGUGUAGCGGUUAAAUGCGCAGAUAUCAGGAGGAACACCGAUGGCGAAGGCAGGUCUCUGGGCCACUACUGACGCUGAGAAGCGAAAGCGUGGGGAGCGAACAGG